rnacentral:rRNA from 1 species
AACGAACGCUGGCGGCAUGCCUAACACAUGCAAGUCGAACGAGACCUUCGGGUCUAGUGGCGCACGGGUGCGUAACACGUGGGAAUCUGCCCUUCGGUUCGGAAUAACAGUUAGAAAUGACUGCUAAUACCGGAUGACGACGUAAGUCCAAAGAUUUAUCGCCGAAGGAUGAGCCCGCGUAGGAUUAGGUAGUUGGUGGGGUAAUGGCCUACCAAGCCGACGAUCCUUAGCUGGUCUGAGAGGAUGAUCAGCCACACUGGGACUGAGACACGGCCCAGACUCCUACGGGAGGCAGCAGUGGGGAAUAUUGGACAAUGGGCGAAAGCCUGAUCCAGCAAUGCCGCGUGAGUGAUGAAGGCCUUAGGGUUGUAAAGCUCUUUUACCAGGGAUGAUAAUGACAGUACCUGGAGAAUAAGCUCCGGCUAACUCCGUGCCAGCCGCCGCAGUAA